CCUACGGGAGGCAGCAGUGAGGAAUAUUGGUCAAUGGCCGGAAGGCUGAACCAGCCAAGCCGCGUGAGGGAGGAAGGCGCAGAGCGUCGCAGACCUCUUUUGCCGGGGGACAAAAGGCCGGACUCGUCCGGUCCUAAGGGUACCCGGAGAAAAAGCAUCGGCUAACUCCGUGCCAGCAGCCGCGGUAAUACGGAGGAUGCGAGCGUUAUCCGGAUUCAUUGGGUUAAACGGGAGCGCAGGCGUGCCUUUAAGUCGGCGGUGAAAUGGCGGGGCUCAACCCCGCCGAGCAGUCGGAACUGGGAGCCUUGAGUGCGGCGGAGGCAUGCGGAAGGCGCGGUGUAGCGGUGAAAUGCAUAGAUAUCGCGCAGAACCCCGAUUGCGAAGGCAGCGGGCCGUGCCGCCACUGACGCUGAGGCACGAAAGCGCGGGGAUCGAACAGGAUUAGAUACCCCAGUAGUC
rnacentral:rRNA from 1 species